CCCGGGCUCAGGGGCCAACACUGAGCUGCACACGGAGCUGGGGUAUGGUUACCCUGCUCAGAGCCUGGGAUCCCUCGGCUGCAGCGCAGGCUCAGGGACACCUGCCCUGACAGGGGUGUUGCAGAGAAUGACAUCCAUACAUGGCCUGGCACACAGUGGUAGGUCUUCCACUUCUGCUAUUUAUUAUUGCCAUUCUUGUUAUCAUCUACCUGGCUAAUGAGGAUCACCUCCUUGAGGCAGGUGGAGGUCACCCACAGGGCAACUGACAGGGGCCGUCUGGUCCCCUGGGCAUUCCCCAUCCCCCCCAUCCCCCACCUAGAAGAUAAUGUCCAACAAAGACCAUCUGAGCGGGAGUGUCAGCCGGCAGCCUCUCUGAGUACAGAUGUGUCAGUGGCCAGAGGCCACUCCCAGGCUGCAGAAUUAGCCCCUGGAGUUUCAUUUGUCAUCUGGGGUCAGUUGAAAGUGCGACAUAGCAACCCUGCAUCUUGGCAAUCUGUCCUCACAUUGACCAGCAAGCAACUCUGUACACUGAGGACGCCCAUCUCAACACGGAAUGUGAUGCAAAAACUUAUUUGGACACAACAGAAGUCUCACAUAACAGUGAUGACGAACAUCUUGUCCAUGGCCUGACUGGGAGUUCCCUCUGCAACCACAGGUUAGCUUAGAAGACAAUAUUGCUUUGCUUUGUUUAAUUGUAUAACUCAUCCAAGCUCAUAGAAUUGGAAACUGUAAACAAAGAAAAAUCUGCAUCUCCUGUUGUAACACACCACAGAUAAGCCUCAUGUAUCACCACUUUGGACGACAUAGUCUUGUCAAGUCUAUGAAAAAGAUGUGGGGCGACCAGGUGGGUUCAGAACGUGGAGGCCAGAGAGGAGUGAGAGGUGCUGUGGGGCCCCAGCUAGGGGUAACCCCUGCUGGCUUGAUGAAUGGACCUAUCCCCUUUCGACAGGCCUCGCAGACACCAGGCCAGAUAAGCACAUCGUCCGUCCAGGCCAUUUUUCCCCCGCUAUCUCUUGCUGAGGCGAUGCUAACAUACCGCCAGCCCUCUGUGUGAUGGAUGGCCUUGGGAAGCCGGCUCACCCCCACCGAUUACACCAACCCUCGGAGGGGCUUCCCAGUGCCCGCCUGCUCAUUUUCAAGACUGGUUCCCUUGGGGGUAAAAAAUGAGCACCCCAGGGGUCCUUUCUGGGGCUUCACACACGUUCAUACACAUCUGUGCCCACGUGCACACACAGGUGCAUUUGUGCCUUGACCCAGCCAACGUUUAAAGCUUGGAACUUGGCAAGUCUAGUUCCCAGGAAGUCGCCCAGGAUCACACGGCCAGACAUUUGCCUCUUACUAACACUGUGUUAAGUCUCUAUCGGGAUCCCCUCCAGUUCCAAAGCGGCUGAGACACAGACAAAGCUAUCUUGGAUGAGACCUGCCAACCGCCACCCCCUCGGCUCAUCUUGGUCCGAGUCAAGCACCAGACACCUCAGACCCCACUAUUUCCUGGGAAAUGUAGAGCAAUGGUUUCUCUCCUGCCAAAAUCCUCAAAGGCAGCCAGAAACAGUAGAGUGAUUAGGAAGCCUUACGCUGGACACACUUCCAAGCUGCAAGCUUCCUGUGAAGCAAAACAGAACAGACUUCAUAUGGUGGAGUCAACCAACAUGGGCGCGUCCCAGGGCCCAGCAGCAUAAACAUCGGGCUCUCUGAUCCCGACCUCCCGACAUACCCAUUUGUCCUGGCCGCUCCUCGGACACAUGAAUGCCUGUCUCAAACCCCACCCUUCACCGCCAGCAGUCUCCGGGGAAGUGACAAACACCGGAUAGAGCCAAUGGGCCCCCGGAGUCCGGAUGCCCACCAUCCGGGGCUGUUUAUGUUUGAGCCCAUCUUGGAAGAAAAAUGUGAGAACGCCUGUUCAGAACAUGGUGGCCAAGCCGGGUCCAUCCGGUGCCAGGGAGCCAAACACAAUGGGAAAGGAGGCGCAGACGCGGCGGAAGGAUAGGGCCGGGCAUGGCCCGCCGAGGGAGACCGCUGGGCCAGGUUGGGUCCUUCCCUGCGCCCUCCUUGUCCCUACGCUGUGAAAAGGCACCUGGGUUCUUCUUCCCUCCACCCGGGACUCUCUGAUCACUCAUACCUCCCUCUUGGCCCACCGAGUCGUGUGAGCCACAUCCUUCACUCUGCCCGUAAAACCACCAAGUUUUAGGCAGCGGACAGUCAAGACAGACAGGCAAGAGUUUCUUGUGAGAGUUGUCAGUGAAAGCACUUUCUCGUAGCAGAGCCUUAUGUUAUUCCCAGCUGAAAUGCUGUUGCUCUUUCCAAGGAAGGAUAGGUUUCUUCUGGAGGAGAGGCAGAGGUGUGCUCUCCAGACCCCACCGCCAUGCUGGGCGCGAAAACAGCCCUCCUUCAGGAAGACACCAGCCUUUGAGCAACCUGGAGUCCUGAGGCCUGUGGCUUCCUGGGAACCUAUAACCGCAUCAGACGUUGAGGCAGAGUUGCUGUUACCAGUUUCACAUCUUAGUAAGAGCCACCGUUUUUGACAUGUCAACAACCCUCCCAAAAAAGCACAAAUCAAUCAGUGUUUAUUAAAAGGCCACCUUGUGCAAAGGGCUGUUGGUUAAAACACAUCAAUGCCUGAGAUACUCAGGGAAAGGCUGGUUGCCUUUGGGAAGCAGGAACCCUCAUCUUGGAUUGUCAGAAGACUUGCUUUGGGGAGACCCUCAGUUCCUGUUUCUAGUAAGUUUCUGUCUUUUGAUUCAUGACGUGACUGCAGGCAAGUGCUCGGGGUUUUUCAACUGCAAAAUGGAGAUAACAAUGGUACCCACCUCUCUCGAGGGGUGGCUGUGAAAAUUAAAUGAGAUGAUGCACGUAAAAUUAUGAUAACCGUGCUCUUAACCUCAAAAAUCUGCAUUAGAAAUUAUAUGGUUUGAACCGC
rnacentral:lncRNA from 1 species